UGGAGUUUGGGGUCAGAUUUGGGGUAUGCCUAUUUUAGGGGAGAUUAUGCCAAUUUUUUGUAUUAAUUUCUGGUUAUGUGACCAUGUUUUUUUUUUUUUUUUUUUGUAGGGAAUCGUUGGGGCUUUGAUGGUGAAAAUUGAGGAGUUGAGGAUUAGGAUGCUAUCGGACCAUAUUCAUCGCCACCACCACCACAAUAGACUU
rnacentral:lncRNA from 1 species